rnacentral:rRNA from 1 species
AGUCACUGACAUUAGAUACCCGCGUAGUCCCAGCCGUAAACAAUGUGCGUUAAGGUGUGUCGGUAACCACGCGUUACUGAUGCGCCGAAGAGAAAUCGUGAAACGCACCACCUGGGAAGUACGGUCGCAAGGCUGAAACUUAAAGGAAUUGGCGGGGAGCACCACAACAGGUGGAGCCUGCGGUUUAAUUGGAUUCAACGCCGGACAUCUCACCGGAUAAGACAGCUGAAUGAUUGUCAAUCUGAAGGUUUUACAUGACUAGCUG